CAAAGAAGAAUUAAAGUUCUGGUGGAUCAAAGAUCGAGGAAUGAUUUGGUUUUAACUGGUUUGCAUCUUAUGAACGAAAUUCUGUAUCUCAAUGAUAUCCUGGCUUAUCGAUACG